rnacentral:rRNA from 1 species
GACGAACGCUGGCGGCGUGCUUAACACAUGCAAGUCGAACGGAAAGGCCCUGCUUGCAGGGUACUCGAGUGGCGAACGGGUGAGUAACACGUGGGUGAUCUGCCCUGCACUUCGGGAUAAGCCUGGGAAACUGGGUCUAAUACCGGAUAGGAGCCAUUUUUAGUGUGAUGGUUGGAAAGUUUUUUCGGUGUAGGAUGAGCUCGCGGCCUAUCAGCUUGUUGGUGGGGUAAUGGCCUACCAAGGCGGCGACGGGUAGCCGGCCUGAGAGGGUGGACGGCCACAUUGGGACUGAGAUACGGCCCAGACGCCUACGGGAGGCAGCAGUGGGGAAUAUUGCACAAUGGGCGCAAGCCUGAUGCAGCGACGCCGCGGGGGGGAUGACGGCCUUCGGGUUGUAAACUCCUUUCGCUAGGGACGAAGCUUUUUGUGACGGUACCUAGAUAAGAAGCACCGGCUAACUACGUG